AAGUCGUAACAAGGUUUCCGUAGGUGAACCUGCGGAAGGAUCAUUUUUGAGCGAGGGGGUUUAUCCCCCGAGCGUAUAUAUCCAUUAACACUGUGAAUUGUCAUUGGCUAUUAAGCCACUACAAACCCUGUGUAAUGAACGUUGAUUUUAUUGUAAUUAAUAAAACUUUCAACAACGGAUCUCUUGGCUCUC
rnacentral:misc_RNA from 1 species